UAAUAGCGUAUAUUAAUGUUGUUGCAGUUAAAAAGCUCGUAGUUGGAUUUUGGUGUUUGACAAAUGGUCUGCCUUUCGGUGUGCACUGUUUGUUGGCACUUCUUUUCUGGGGAACUCACUGCUCUUAAUUGAGGGGUGCUGUAACGCAGAUCGUUUACUUUGAAAAAAUUAGAGUGUUCAAAGCAGGCCAACGCAUUGAAUACAUUAGCAUGGAAUAAUGGAAUAGGACUUUGGUCUUAUUUUGUUGGUUUCUAAGGCCGAGGUAAUGAUUAAUAGGGAUAGUUGGGGGCGUUUAUAUUCCGUUGUCAGAGGUGAAAUUCUUGGAUUUACGGAAGAUAAACUACUGCGAAAGCAUUCGCCAAGGAUGUUUUCAUUA
rnacentral:rRNA from 1 species